CUACCAUGGCAAUCACGGGUAACGGAGAAUUAGGGUUCGAUUCCGGAGAGGGAGCCUGGGAAACGGCUACCACAUCUACGGAAGGCAGCAGGCGCGAAAAUUGCCCAAUCCUGAUUCAGGGAGGCAGUGACAAGAAAUAACAACUCUCGACUAUGUUGAGAAGUGUAAUGAGGAUAAUUUACAAACCUUACCAAAUGCAAUUGGAGGGCGAGUCUGGUGCCAGCAGCCGCGGUAAUUCCAGCUCCAAUAGCGUAUAUUAAAGUUGUUGCAGUUAAAAAGCUCGUAGUUGAAAAUCUGAUUGCUCAGGUCUCCAGCCUUUAGGCGGGGAUUCUGACAGUCAUCCGCUUGCAAACAUAUGUUCGAUCUUCACCGGUUGGCUAUGUGAGUAAGCACUUUACCUUGAGAAAAACAGAGUGUUCCAGGCAGGUUUGUCCGGAAUGCAUUAGCAUGGAAUAAUAGAACAUGACUGAAGUCUAUUUAUUGGUUAAAGGCUUUAGUAAUGAUUAAUAGGAACAGUCGGGGGCAUUCGUACUCAGCAGUCAGAGGUGAAAUUCUAAGAUUUGCUGAAGACGAACUAAUGCGAAAGCAUUUGCCAAGGAUGUUUUCAUUAAUCAAGAACGAAAGUUAGGGGAUC
rnacentral:rRNA from 1 species